rnacentral:misc_RNA from 1 species
UUACAGUUUAGCGAGUUACCUGCCCUUGGUUGUGUCUCUGUAUUGCUCCUUCUGCCGGCAGAGGGCGUCGUUGCGCCGUGCUCUGAUUGGUCAACUUCAAACCCUGUCUUCCCAGUCUUUACAAUGGAAGGAGAUUAUUCGCCUCCUUCGCAAAGGAAGUAUCCCAGACGUGGACGAAAACACUUCGAUGAUGGACCUGAUUCCGAGAAAUUCAGGAAACUUUUCAUUGGCGGUCUAAGUUAUGAUACCAAUGAAGAAAGUUUGAAGAAAUACUUCUCAAAAUGGGGUGAUAUUGUUGACUGUGUAGUGAUGAGAGACCCCAAUACUAAAUGGUCUAGAGGGUUUGGCUUCAUUACUUACAAAAAUGUGAACGAAGUUGAUGAAGCUCAGAAGAAUAGACCACAUUCCUUGGACAACCGUGAAGUUGAGACCAAGCGUGCUAUGCCGAGAGAUGAUGCUGAAUCUCAAGCAACUGUCAAGAAAAUGUUUGUUGGUGGUCUUAAAGAAGACAUAUCAGAUGAUCAGUUACGGGAGUUUUUUGAACCUCAUGGCAAAAUAGCAAACAUUGACUUGAUUACUGAUAAAACCACUGGCAAGAAGAGAGGAUUUGGUUUCAUUUCCUUUGAAGAUUAUGAUACUGUGGACAAACUUGUCUUGAAAAAGUACUUGACUUUAAAUGGAAAGCAAAUUGAAGUGAAGAAGGCCCUGUCUCGCUCUGAAAUAAACAACAGCAGAAUGGGUGGCGGACCUGGCUAUGGCGGCGGCGGCGGUGGAGGUGGAGGUCCCCGAGGUGGACGAGGUGGCAAUGACGGUCCUGGCCCCAUGAGAGGUGGUAUGGGUGGAAGAGGUGGCUCUGAUGGUGAGUGGUCUCCUGGAUUUGGUAGAGGCUUUGGAAGAGACAACUUUGGUUCUGGAGGUGGUUAUGGAAAUUUCGGAGGUAGCGGUUAUGGUGGCGGUGGCGGACCCGGUGGUGGUGGUGGUUAUGGUGGCGGUGGCGGACCCGGUGGUGGUGGUGGUGGUGGCGGCGGUUACGGCGGGGGUGGAUAUGGGGGUGGCGGUGGUGGACCCAGUGGGAACUAUGGACCUGGCGGCGGUGGCGGAGGGCCUGGUGGAUAUGGAGGUGGCGGAGGCAACUACGGUGGCAGUGGUGGUGGUGGUGGAUAUAGCGGCGGUGGUGGAGGUAACUAUGGUGGUGAGGGUGGUAACUAUGGCGGAAGUAGUGGCAGAGGUGGGGGAGGAGGUGGAGGUAAUUACGGCAGUGGAGGUGGUGGUAGUGGCAACUACGGGGGUGGGGGUGGCAAUUAUGGAGGAAGUAGUGGGGGAGGAAGCGGUGGUUAUGGUAUGGGCGGUGGUGGUGGAAGUGGCGGCGGCGGGGGUGGCGGUAGCUAUGGCGGAUCGCAAGGAGGCAAUGAUUUCAAUGACAGUUUCAGCGGAGGAAACAGCAAUAAUUGGCGAGGAGGAGGCGGCGGCGGUAGCAGCAAUUAUGGCAACAGUUAUGGUGGCAGUGGUGGUGGCCCAAUCAAAGGAAGUGGUUCAGGUGGCACCUACUCUCAGAGAGGAUCUGGUCCUUAUGGAGGUGGCUAUGGCGGCGGUAAUUUUGGAGGAGGCGGCGGAGGCAGUGGGGGUGGCGGUAGCGGAAGUGGCGGCGGCAGCAGCUACAGACGCUAAAAAAAAACUAACCUGGCAGCGACUUAACAUUCAGUUUGGUCCAUCUGGCUUGCAGAAGUGUUGAAAAUAAAUUUGUGCUGCAUCUAUGGACUUUUUUUUUUUAAUACUCCUAGCUGUGAUAUCGAAGAGGACAACUUCUGCAAAUCGUUCAGUUCUGGUUGACUUCAAUUUGGAACUUUUGAGCAGGAAACAAGAUUACUUGUGGUGAAGUGGAGGCUUUUAUUCAUCCUGGAAGCAUGAAUGAAUGUACAUAAACCUUUUUUAACUAAAUAAAUCUAUUUUUCUACAAAUA